UGGUGGGCAUCUGGGAGGCGGAAGUGGCCUCCGUGAGCGCAGGGACAUGGCGUCGGGCGGCGCCUGCAGCUCCAGCCCUUCCGCGGAGCGGUUGCCCCCUCCCUUUCCCGGGGCCGAAGGGGACGCGGACAGCGACUCCGAGGGCGAGGACAUCUUCACCGGCGCCAGCAAGCCUCAGUCGCCCAAGAGGGAGUCUCCUCUCCCAGUGAAUAGCAGCUUCAAAGAAAAUGGGGUUCGUGUGGAACAAGAUGAUCAGGACCUAUUUGCAGAUGCCACGGUGGAGCUGUCUCUGGACAGUACACAAAACAACCAGAAGAAGGAACCAGCCAGAGUGUCCAGCCCUGCCCCGCCUCUAGAAGUAGCAACAAGUUCUUCUUCCAAACACCAGCCAAAGAGCUAUGAGGAGCCGGAGGAAGAGGAACAGGAGGACAAGUUCGAGCUGACUGUGGGAGUGAGUGACCCAGAAAAAAUUGGGGAUGGCAUGAAUGCAUAUGUAGCCUACAAAGUCUCAACACAGACUAGUCUGCCACUGUUCAGGAACAAGCAGUUCUCUGUGAAAAGGAGAUUCAGUGACUUCUUGGGUCUGUAUGAGAAGCUAUCAGAGAAGCACUCUCAGAAUGGAUUUAUAGUCCCACCACCUCCAGAAAAAAGCUUAAUAGGAAUGACCAAAGUGAAAGUUGGGAAAGAAGACUCAUCCUCUGUGGAAUUCCUGGAGAAGAGACGGGCUGCUCUAGAAAGGUACCUUCAGAGAAUAGUCAACCAUCCAACCAUGCUGCAGGACCCUGAUGUAAGGGAGUUCUUGGAAAAAGAAGAGCUGCCCCGAGCAGUAGGCACCCAGACACUGAGUGGAGCAGGUAUACUAAAGAUGUUCAGCAAAGCCACUGAUGCUGUCAGCAAAAUGACCAUCAAGAUGAAUGAAGCAGACAUCUGGUUUGAGGAGAAACUUCAGGAGGUGGAGUGUGAGGAGCAGCGCCUACGGAAGCUACAUGCUGCUGUAGAAACACUAGUCAACCACAGGAAAGAGUUAGUACUGAACACAGCACAGUUUGCAAAGAGUUUGGCCAUGUUAGGGAGUUCAGAAGACAACACAGCCCUGUCCCGAGCACUCUCCCAGCUGGCUGAGGUGGAAGAGAAGAUAGAACAGCUGCACCAGGAACAGGCCAACAGUGACUUCUUCAUCCUGGCUGAGCUCCUGAGUGACUACAUUCGCCUUCUCUCGGUUGUAAGGGGUGCCUUUGACCAGCGCAUGAAAACCUGGCAGCGUUGGCAGGAUGCCCAGACCAUGUUGCAGAAGAAGCGGGAAACUGAGGCUAGGCUGCUGUGGGCCAACAAACCUGACAAGCUACAGCAGGCCAAAGAGGAGAUCUCUGAGUGGGAGUCUCGUGUGACGCAGUACGAAAGGGAUUUCGAGCGGAUUUCUACCGUGGUCCGCAAGGAAGUGAUACGGUUUGAGAAAGAGAAAUCAAAGGACUUCAGAAACCACGUGACUAAAUAUCUUGAGACACUCUUAAACUCACAGCAGCAGCUGGUGAAGUACUGGGAGGCAUUCUUACCUGAAGCCAAGGCCAUCUCAUAACCAGACCAAGCAAACCAGAACACGCCUGAACUCACUCUGCCUUUUUAUACACUAUACCUCUUCGCCUUUUACAGACAGACCCUAACUGAAUGCGUCCUGCAGAGCCGUUAGAGAUUUAACCCCCAAAUGAGCAGCAGCCCAGACAAUUUGACAAAACGCAAAGAAGAUACCAAUGUGAGAUUUCUAAAGAUAGCUACAGCUCUCAACCCAUGGUUUAAGAAUCUGAAGUGCCUUCCAAAAUCUGAGAGUGAUGAAGUGUGGCGCAUGCUUUCAAAAGUCUUAAAAGAGCACCACUCUGAUGCGGAAACUGCAAAGAACCCGAACCACCAAAAAAGAAAAUCAACCUUUUGCUGGUGCAGUCUGACUCAGAUGAUGAAAAUGAACGUGUUGGUCUGCCUUGCUUUGGAUCAUUAUUGAGCAGCACCUGUCAAAAGCAUGGACGCAUGUCUUCUGGAAUGGCAGCUGAAGCAUGAAGGGACAUCUAAAUCUUUAGCAUCCCUGGCACAUAAAUAUCUUGUGACACUGGCCACAACAGUGCCAUGUGAACACCUGUUCUCACUUUCAGGUGAUGUAAACAAGAAGCAGGCAGCGUUAUCUCCCACAAAUGUAAACAAGCGGGUUUGUCUGAGCAAUUGGCUGACCAAGAAGUAGGACUGAGUGGACUUGCAGGCUCUAAAAUUUUACAUUGUUUUAUUUUUUAAUCCAGUUUUUUUGGAUAAUUUUACAUUUGUAAGUUCAACUUUCAUUGUAAAGAGAUUGCCCUACAGUACUUGUAUUAGGUGAAUUGAAAAAUACUAUUUUG